UUUCUCAUCAUGUUGGAGCGAUGGAGGGAGGAGAGUGUCAACAGAGUAAAGUCUCAGCAGCAGCUCGACGAGUCGUAGGCAAAACUUUAUUUCCUAUCCGAUGCUGAGAGGGUCAAGUACCUCCACAGUCAAGGGAUCAUCCACAGAGACCUGAAACCAGAGAACAUCCUGCUGUCCUCACAGGACAACGAGUGUCUUAUCAAGGUGACGGACUUCAAACCAGUCCCGGAUCCUAGCUGAGCCAUGCUGAUGAGGGAUCUGUGUGGACCCGUCCUACCUCGCCCCGAAGUUUCACGUCCACGUCGGGGGUACGGCUGGCCGUCGGACGCAGGAGCCUCGGGGCUGCUCU